rnacentral:tRNA from 1 species
UUAGUAGGGUGGGGUGUAAUAGGUAGCACGAGGAACUUUGAAUUCCUAAGUACAGGUUCAAUCCCUGUGGCCCUAG